UACAACAACUGCGUAAACCAUCACGUGUGUCCCGGUCGUCCUCGCAGCAGCGGUGGUUUUUGGGCUGCUAAGCCAUCGACACGAAGACGAUGGCCACUCGCAUCUCGUGAAUUCAGCGCGCCAACGAGGAAGUGGCGCGCGCCAAGGCGGUGUUUUGGCUGUCGGAUUCGAAGGCGCCGGGGAUCGGCUGCGGCUCUGCUGUUUGGGGGCCGCUCGCGAAAGAAAGAAAUAAAGAUCGCUUUUCGGGGCAGGAGAGACUGCAAUGUCUUCCGUGAGAAAAUCUUCGCACUUGCCUCAUGGGUAUGGGGCUGGAGUGGGUGGGGGAGAGAGAGAGAGGAGAGAGAGGGGGGAGGAGGAGGAGUGAGAAUUUUUUUGUCCGUGUUAAAAUGAAAGCAGGAUUCUUUAGUUUUUAAAUCUGUCUCUUUUGUCUCGAGUAAUUUGCGCUGUCCCUGGUAACAAAGGCGGCCGGCGGCGGAGGCUGCUUUGCUGCUUUGCUGGCGUUGAGUGGAAGACGCCGUCGUGAUGCGUCGAGCGAGCCGAGCCAGAGAGGCUCUCUCCCUGUCUCUCUCCGUCUCAUUAAGGCCCCCAAAACGCUGCGGCUACCUAAGCGAUUGCCGCUCUGAAACUUUGCUUUUAUGACUUUCUUUCGGAUAAAACGAAAUGUCACGGAUUUUUUUUUUUGGACAAGGUCCCCCUCCCCACACACACAACCCUCCAACUCGUGAAAAAAAAUGCAGCACUACAGAUAGACCACGUACAUCUUACGACAAUGACAAGCGGGAAAAUGGCAUAAUGCAGUGGCACAUCUUUCUAAUCCUCCCAGAAUACUUUUAAUUCCGCCACAACACGAGUCUCGAGGCUCUUUUGUCAGGACGGUGCUUACGACAAUGAGAUGUCUGCACAUUUUGAUCAACGGAGAGUCUCGCUUCGUGUGUAUACGUACGGACGUAUGUUGGACUUCUUUCGCACCGUACGCAGCCAACCGUGCUCAUCGGCGGAAACCAAAGGAUGCGUAGAAACCCCCGCCGCACUGUGUACGAGGGUUGUUAACACUCCCACAGCUCCGCACAGAUGGAUUCCAAGCGUCUAUUGCUUUGCUGGAAGCUCCUAGCCACCUCGCAGUUCAAGCCUCCAACGGGUAAAAUUCCACCCAAGUAGCAUCUAGACUCAAACUUGUUUUACCUUCCGAGAUCCGACAAGAUCCGGCACAGCUUGGGAUGAUUUGAUAGCAGCAUAGUUUGCAAUUGACCGGAAUAUCUUAUUGAGUUCCAGGCCACUCUUUAAAGAGUUGUCCUGCCUGGGAUUUUUUGUCGAAAAGGAACUGAAUUCGGAUUUAUGUACAGUGAGGGAAAAAAGUAUUUGAUCCCCUGCUGAUUUUGUACGUUUGCCCACUGACAAAGAAAUGAUCAGUCUAUAAUUUUAAUGGUAGGUUUAUUUGAAU